rnacentral:lncRNA from 1 species
ACUAUGCUAGAUCUAAUAAAUAUCAUAGCUAGAGGCAUCAGAAGAGUCAGAGAUAUGAUGUGGAGUCUCAGGAUCAAAGUCACGGGCACGUCCUCGACCAUGUCUACCUCGACCACGAGUAGAAGUAUCAGCAUGAGCAGAAGGAUGAGAAGGUCUUGAAGCCUGGGAAGAUAUGGAUUGUGCUAGGAGAGUAAGUCUGAUGGUGUCCAAUUAUUCCAAAGCUCUCGACA